rnacentral:rRNA from 1 species
GACGAACGCUGGCGGCGUGCUUAACACAUGCAAGUCGAACGGAAAGGCCUCUUUCGGGGGGUACUCGAGUGGCGAACGGGUGAGUAACACGUGAGUAACCUGCCCUUGACUUUGGGAUAACUUCAGGAAACUGGGGCUAAUACCGGAUAGGAGCUCCUGCUGCAUGGUGGGGGUUGGAAAGUUUCGGCGGUUGGGGAUGGACUCGCGGCUUAUCAGCUUGUUGGUGGGGUAGUGGCUUACCAAGGCUUUGACGGGUAGCCGGCCUGAGAGGGUGACCGGCCACAUUGGGACUGAGAUACGGCCCGGACUCCUACGGGAGGCAGCAGUGGGGAAUAUUGCACAAUGGGUGGAAGCCUGAUGCAGCAACGCCGUGUGCGGGAUGACGGCCUUCGGGUUGUAAACCGCUUUCGCUCAUGACGAAGCUUUGUGUGACGGUAGUGGGUAAAGAAGCACCGGCUAACUACGUG